UCUGAUCGGCGUAGCUGCGGUCCACGGCGUUCACCAUAUGUGUCAUUUCCUGCCGGGUGGUUCCGAUGGCAUCCUUACGCUUUUUGGCCAGCUUCCUGUCACAGGGGUAUAAAAAAAAGCGGAGUCAGCCAAGCUGUGGGCUGCAGGCGACUGAUUCAAGAUGCAGAGGAAAAAGAGGAGAGGAAGAAAACAAAGAAGAGGAAAAGAAACAGGCAAGGAUGGCCAAUGUGAAAAGAGCAAAUGGCAGCAUGUACCCGGGCUCAACCCAAGGAGCGAAAAUAACCCUUGACCUCGGUCGGGUUAGCCAAAGAACCUCCCAGAGGAAUGUGUGAAUUAAAUUAGUCCAUUUGAAAUAAGGCAGCAAGGUACGGCAUUUACUAAACACACCAUUGAUCAUACAGAGGUCAUAUCGACCUUCAGCACUUCAGGAUCGAUGCAUCGAAAUAUUUUUUUCCGCAGGCUGUUCUCGUAUAAUACGGUAAAGUAUUUGGGAAAAAGCACAGACAAAUCAAAGUAUUUCCAGGAGAAGUAAACAAGUUUGAUAUGUGAAUAAAAACUGAUGAGUAUUCCCAGGAGAGACUUUGAGCAUGACAAAGCAUGCAGGAAAGUCCUACACCCAGAGCCAUCGUAUAUGUAUCACUUCAGACAACUUCCAAUCCAUGAAUGCGAUUCGAAUUCCACGUCUUGAUACCGUGACGGUAGAAAUUUGGAUUCAAUUUGAAAUUUCCGUCAAAUAAGUUGCCAAACUGAUACGCUUAUACGGGCUCUGACCUCUUCCCAAUAGACAGGUGGGAAACAUGCUUUUUGAAUCUUUUUUUCCGUUACCUCGUUUGCUCUCAAAACACACCACCGCUAAGGCCACAGAAAAACAUGACGCACCCACAAAUCCAGACCCUUCAUUCUGACCAAGUUACGCAAAAAAUGUCGGAAGAAAUCAGGACAAGCCACAGAGAUAACGAUUUUUUUUUCCACAGCCAAACCCCCACAAGAACGAAACCAAAAAAAAAAGCCUCAAACAGAACGCAGUUGUUCACAUCCCCGUGUUCACGAUACCUGUGACUUGAUGGGUGGAUGGAUGGUCACAUGACUUACAUGCACACAGAGCUACAAGUCACAAGUGCAGCAUUCUUUUUUCAAAUAACACGCUCAGGCCCGUGUGGUCCCACUCUGGCCUGCUUUUGAAGACAGCUCGUCUGCCUCAGAGCGACUUUGGAACAUGUGGAGGACACCGAGGGCUGAGGGCAAUUCACAUUCAGUUCAGUCCUUUUGGAUUAUGUCUGUGUUGCUACCCGCCCCCCCUCAUUCACUCAGUGCUAUUAAAUAUGUAAAAAAAAAUACAAAUAAUGCAAAAAGCUGAUAUGACUGAGGCGGCAGUGAAUUGUCCCCCACCCUGGGCAGGGCGUCAAUGAGGAUGGCUUUGGCUGGUUGGUCAGAGCGAAAAUGUGUUGUGUCUUGAAAAAAGUAUACUGCAUCUUUAAAAAAAACAAAACCAAAAAAAAAAAAAACCCAACAUCUAGCCACUAGUUAGCCCA